GACGAACGCUGGCGGCGUGCUUAACACAUGCAAGUCGAACGGAAAGGCCCUGCUUUUGUGGGGUGCUCGAGUGGCGAACGGGUGAGUAACACGUGAGUAACCUGCCCUUUACUUUGGGAUAACUUCAGGAAACUGGGGCUAAUACCGGAUAGGAGCUCCUGCUGCAUGGUUGGGGUUGGAAAGUUUCGGCGGUUGGGGAUGGACUCGCGGCUUAUCAGCUUGUUGGUGGGGUAGUGGCUUACCAAGGCUUUGACGGGUAGCCGGCCUGAGAGGGUGACCGGCCACAUUGGGACUGAGAUACGGCCCAGACUCCUACGGGAGGCAGCAGUGGGGAAUAUUGCACAAUGGGCGGAAGCCUGAUGCAGCAACGCCGCGUGCGGGAUGACGGCCUUCGGGUUGUAAACCGCUUUCGCCUGUGACGAAGCGUGAGUGACGGUAAUGGGUAAAGAAGCACCGGCUAACUACGUG
rnacentral:rRNA from 1 species